UUUCAGAGGCACACUUACAACACUAUGAUGACCAUCUACAAUACUUUAGGGCAAACAAGACUAUAGACAGAGAACUCAUGCUUUCUGAAUGCAUUGUCUGAGCAUAAGGGACACCCGUGGUGGAAUGACUCGUGCCUGCCUGGGAUGGAAAUAGUUGGAAACUACAGAAGAAUCUGUGCUGAACACAGCUCCAUGGAGGCUACCUGCAAAAUUAGCAUGCUAACUGCGACAACAGUGAGAUGUGGAGUUGGAUUUGUUAUUACCUUAUUUGGGAGAAGGCAUAGAGAAACAACACUCUCAAUAGCAUGUUAUAAAAGGCAAAUGCCUGAAGUCCCUGUGACAUAAAGCUCCUGCAGACAUCCAUUCAGAUGGAUGUGGUGGGGUCAAACGUGCCACACUCCUGGAGGACUAAGCUCCCUGCUGCCUGCUGAACUGCUUAUCUUGAACAGUUAUUUAGUUGGUUAUUAGGAAUACAAGUCUUGAAGAUAAAGAUGAACAUGGGAAUGGUGGUUUGACAAUGUGAUAAAAAUCCAAAUAAUUCCUUUGACUAAAAAAAUAUAAUCUUUUCAAAACAGGCUUACCUACACCAGUCUGAUUUGUUAGAUGCAGAAAUACAAACCUUAAAUCUAAAGAAAAGCAUGGUAAUGGUAUCUUGACAGUGUAGUGAAAAUUUAAUUAAUUCUUUAUAAUGAAAAAAAUUAAUCUUUUCAAUCUUUGCCUACUCUGGUCCAAGUUUUUGGAUGCAGGCGUGAAUUAGUUAGGGAGCCCAUCAAGUCAGAUUCUGGAUGCUGUGAAUUUACUGAUUCUUUCAGCUGCUGGGAUAAUUCGAUGCCAGCGUUUGCUUUAACAAUGACAUUCACUGCAUAAGAGAGCACAUUGGCCCAUAUGUAUGCAGUGGCUUUUCAUCUGGAAUUUGUAGACCUUCUGUGAUCCAGAAGUCUGUGAACUACCAUUCAAGGCAUAAAGUUAUGAGUAGUAAAUAAAAUCAGUUGUUUCCCAGGAAAGUCAGUUGAGCUAGCUGUUCUGAUUUCGUGUCAUUUUCUUUGGGUGACUGCAAAGACUGCUGAUGCUGCACAGGAAAGAUUUUCUCAUUGGUAAAGAUGCAGGACGUGUUCAGAAUAGCAAUUAUGUGCUAGAAAUGGAUAUAUUAGAAGAAAAAUGGACAGUAUUUUCUCCUAGUUUCUUUUAGAUCUCAGGUGCACUACAUGAAUCUUAAUUUGAAACAAAUUAAAAAUAUAUAUAUAUCAUUCUUGCCUGAUAGAGACAAUUUGCUAUCCCAGCAUAAUAAAGAGAGUUCAAACGCAGCACUUGAUUUAAAGGAAAUAUUAAUACACCCAGGAGCUUUUCUAUAUGCAGACUGUGCUCUGAUUUUUCAGCACUCUACUCCGAUGCAGUGUGUUCAAUUAUAUUUAAAAGAGAAGGGACAUGAAGCUAGAGCUCUGCUUUCUGUUAUCCAUGUGAACUUACCUUUAUGAAUGUGUCCUUUAUGAAUGACAGAGAAAGUUCUCAUCCUAUUUCCUUCUCCAGUCUAUGCAAUUGCCUGUUUAAUUUUUGGAAAGCAAAUACAUGCUAUGUGAACCUAUUCACAGGAUGAGGGCCAGUGUCUUUUUGCUAGCUUAUUUUUCCAUUACUUAUUUUAAUCCUGUGUUUGAGAUUCCUUCAUAAUAACACUAGAUUCUUUCUAACAUUUUUAAGCUGUGUGUUUCUGUGGUUCAUUGGGUAAGACAAUGGUCUGUUUAGACUGUCAUAGCCUCUUUAGCAUGACAGCCUUAUAUUAUAGGAGUAGAGUUAAGUAUCUGCAAAUUUUUCUGCCUGGAAAACUAAUUCUCUUCUGAUGUUUUCUAUAGGAGGCAAAAAAGCAGUCAGUUUUUAGAAAGAAAUUAAAAUAAUCUACUUCUAUGAUGAAAGAGCUUGUUAGAAAGGACUACAUUUUAAAGCCCUGAGUGACAGCUAAUUUAAUGCUACUUGCUAAAUCCUUUAACAUAUGUAGACAUUUCUAUGUUAAAAAUAAAUAUGCAUAUUUCAAU
ensembl:lncRNA